rnacentral:rRNA from 1 species
UGGGGAAUAUUGCACAAUGGAGGGAACUCUGAUGCAGCGACGCCGCGUGAGUGAUGAAGGAAUUCGUUUCGUAAAACUCUGUUCUAUGGGAAGAAAAGGACUGUACCAUAGGAGAAAGCUCCGGCUAAAUACGUGCCAGCAGCCGCGGUAAUACGUAUGGAGCGAGCGUUGUCCGGAAUUAUUGGGCGUAAAGGGUGCGCAGGCGGCUUUACAAGUUGGAUGUGAAAUAUUGUGGCUCAACCACAAACGUGCAUCCAAAACUGCAAAGCUUGAGUUAAGGAGAGGUAAGUGGAAUUCCUGGUGUAGCGGUGGAAUGCGUAGAUAUCAGGAGGAAUACCGGUGGCGAAGGCGACUUACUGGGCUUAAACUGACGCUCAGGCACGAAAGAGUGGGGAGCAAACAGG